rnacentral:rRNA from 1 species
GGUUGACCUCGGAUCAGGUAGGGAUACCCGCUGAACUUAAGCAUAUCAAUAAGCGGAGGAAAAGAAACCAACAGGGAUUGCCUCAGUAACGGCGAGUGAAGCGGCAACAGCUCAAAUUUGAAAUCUGGCCGUUCGGCGGUCCGAGUUGUAAUUUGUAGAGGAUGCUUCGGGUGCGGCGCCGGUCUAAGUUCCUUGGAACAGGACGUCAUAGAGGGUGAGAAUCCCGUAUGUGACCGGCGACCUGGCCCGUGUGAAGCUCCUUCAACGAGUCGAGUUGUUUGGGAAUGCAGCUCUAAGCGGGUGGUAAAUUUCAUCUAAAGCUAAAUACCGGCCAGAGACCGAUAGCGCACAAGUAGAGUGAUCGAAAGAUGAAAAGCACUUUGGAAAGAGAGUUAAAAAGUACGUGAAAUUGUUGAAAGGGAAGCGCUUGCGACCAGACUUGCUCACGGGCGAUCAGCCGUCCUUCUGGGCGGUGCACUCGCCGGUGAUCAGGCCAGCAUCGGUUCAGGCGGCCGGAUAAAGGCCCCGGGAACGUGGCUCCCCUCGGGGAGUGUUACAGCCCGGGGUGCAAUGCGGCCCGCCGGGACCGAGGACCGCGCUUCGGCUAGGAUGCUGGCGUAAUGGUCGUAAGCGACCCGUCUUGAAACACGGACCAAGGAGUCUAACAUCUGUGCGAGUGUUUGGGUGUCAAACCCAUGCGCGGAAUGAAAGUGAACGGAGGUGGGAACCCUUCAGGGUGCACCAUCGACCGAUCCUGAUGUCUUCGGAUGGAUUUGAGUAAGAGCAUAGCUGUUGGGACCCGAAAGAUGGUGAACUAUGCCUGAAUAGGGUGAAGCCAGAGGAAACUCUGGUGGAGGCUCGCAGCGGUUCUGACGUGCAAAUCGAUCGUCAAAUUUGGGUAUAGGGGCGAAAGACUAAUCGAACCAUCUAGUAGCUGGUUCCUGCC